UGAGUGAAUUAGGUAGUUUCAUGUUGUUGGGCCUGGAUUUCUGAACACAACGACAUUAAACCACCCGACUCACGGCAG
ensembl:miRNA microRNA 196a-1